GUUCCACUGGUCUAGUGGUCAUGACGUCUGCUUUACACGCAGAAGAUCGCUGGUUCGAACCCAGCGUGGAACA
rfam:Catenaria anguillulae PL171 BCR44scaffold_35, whole genome shotgun sequence.